AACGAACGCUGGCGGCAUGCCUAACACAUGCAAGUCGAACGAAGUCUUCGGACUUAGUGGCGCACGGGUGCGUAACGCGUGGGAAUCUGCCCUUGGGUGCGGAAUAACUUCUCGAAAGGGAUGCUAAUACCGCAUAAUGUCGUAAGACCAAAGAUUUAUCGCCCAAGGAUGAGCCCGCGUAAGAUUAGCUAGUUGGUGGGGUAAGAGCCUACCAAGGCGACGAUCUUUAGCUGGUCUGAGAGGAUGAUCAGCCACACUGGGACGUGAGACACGGCCCAGAUCCUACGGGAGGGCAGCA
rnacentral:rRNA from 1 species